rnacentral:misc_RNA from 1 species
GAUGAAGAACGUAGCGAAAUGCGAUACUUGGUGUGAAUUGCAGAAUCCCGUGAACCAUCGAGUCUUUGAACGCAAGUUGCGCCCGAAGCCGUCAGGCCGAGGGCACGCCUGCCUGGGCGUCACACGUCGUUGCCCCCCCCCCCCAACGCCUCCCUCGGGAGCGUCGGGGGGAGCGGACGAUGGCCUCCCGUGCGACACCCCGCGCGGUUGGCACAAAUGCCGGGUCCUCGGCGACGAACGCCACGACAAUCGGUGGUUGUCAAACCUCGGUUGCCCGUUGUGCGCCUUCGCCGCGCCACGAGCGGCCCGCGAUAGCAAACGGCUCCGUUCCGGCGGAGCUUUCAACGCGACCCCAGGUCAGGCGGGGUUACCCGCUGAGUUUAAGCAUAUCAAUAAGCGGAGGA